GUGGAGCAUGUGGCUUAAUUUGACUCAACGCGGGGAAUCUUACUAGGUCCGGACCGAUUCUAUGAUCGUCGUACUGUGGGGUGCUACGUGAUUACUGGAUGAGUGGUGCAUGGCCGUUCUUAGUUCGUGGUGUUAAUUGUCUACUUAAUUGUUAUCGGUUCUCGUAUCAUGCGAGACCURAUAACGAACGAGAUCGAGACCCGGGGUUGCGUGUGUUUGAAUUCGGUAUUACUACGGGGAUCGCGUAUUACUCCACGGUACGAUCGAAAGACUCGGCAAUAACAGGUCUGUGAUGCCCUCAGAUGUUCUAGGCUGCACACGUGCUACAGUGUGGUUCUGUUCAUAUGUGUAUGCGUAGACUUGAGAUCCCCCGCACCGAGUCAUAAUUGGUCACACGGUUGGGCUCACCGAUUGUCAAUUAUUCGGUAUCUUAA
rnacentral:rRNA from 1 species